rnacentral:rRNA from 1 species
GAUGAACGCUGGCGGCGUGCUUAACACAUGCAAGUCGAACGGUGAACGAGGGAGCUUGCUCCCUCCGGAUCAGUGGCGAACGGGUGAGUAACACGUGAGCAAUCUGCCCUGGACUCUGGGAUAAGCGUUGGAAACGACGUCUAAUACCGGAUACGAGACGUGAAGGCAUCUUCAACGUCUGGAAAGAACUUCGGUCCAGGAUGAGCUCGCGGCCUAUCAGGUAGUUGGUGAGGUAAUGGCUCACCAAGCCUACGACGGGUAGCCGGCCUGAGAGGGUGACCGGCCACAAUGGGACUGAGACACGGCCCAGACUCCUACGGGAGGCAGCAAUGGGGAAUAUUGCACAAUGGGCGAAAGCCUGAUGCAGCAACGCCGCGUGAGGGACGACGGCCUUCGGGUUGUAAACCUCUUUUAGCAGGGAAGAAGCGAAAGUGACGGUACCUGCAGAAAAAGCACCGGCUAACUACGUGCCAGCCGCCGCUGUAAGAC